rnacentral:rRNA from 1 species
UACGGGGGGGGCAAGCGUUGUUCGGAAUUACUGGGCGUAAAGGGCUCGUAGGUGGCCAACUAAGUCAGACGUGAAAUCCCUCGGCUUAACCGGGGAACUGCGUCUGAUACUGGAUGGCUUGAGUUCGGGAGAGGGAUGCGGAAUUCCAGGUGUAGCGGUGAAAUGCGUAGAUAUCUAGAGGAACGCCAAAGGUGAAGACAGGCGGCUGGGCCAAUUCUGACGCUGAGGCACGAAAGCGUGGGUAGCGAACGGG